rnacentral:rRNA from 1 species
UAGGGAAUCUUCGGCAAUGGACGAAAGUCUGACCGAGCAACGCCGCGUGAGUGAAGAAGGUUUUCGGAUCGUAAAACUCUGUUGGUAGAGAAGAACGUUGGUGAGAGUGGAAAGCUCAUCAAGUGACGGUAACUACCCAGAAAGGGACGGCUAACUACGUGCCAGCAGCCGCGGUAAUACGUAGGUCCCGAGCGUUGUCCGGAUUUAUUGGGCGUAAAGCGAGCGCAGGUGGUUUAUUAAGUCUGGUGUAAAAGGCAGUGGCUCAACCAUUGUAUGCAUUGGAAACUGGUAGACUUGAGUGCAGGAGAGGAGAGUGGAAUUCCAUGUGUAGCGGUGAAAUGCGUAGAUAUAUGGAGGAACACCGGUGGCGAAAGCGGCUCUCUGGCCUGUAACUGACACUGAGGCUCGAAAGCGUGGGGAGCAAACAGGAUUAGAUACCCUGGUAGUCCACGCCGUAAACGAUGAGUGCUAGAUGUAGGGAGCUAUAAGUUCUCUGUAUCGCAGCUAACGCAAUAAGCACUCCGCCUGGGGGAGUACGACCGCA